UUGAAUCCUGAAACCCAAACACCGUUUCUGCAAGUGAAAUUAUUGAAUUGAUAGAACCUAGCUGUUUUAGAUAUAUAAUCUAGGUUUUCAUGUUUUCGCAACAAAAUGGGGGGCACUGGCUAGAUAUGGUCCUACUUGUAGAAAAAGCAGAUCUAGAAAUUGAGGCCUGUGGGGUAUACUCUACAGCAAAAAGGUCCUGAGAAAGUGAUAAAGGGUUAAACAGUUUCGCGGAGAUUGCAGGCCUGAGUAAUACUCAACCCUCCUGCGCUAUGUCCCACCAAUAUCACCUAUUUGAUAUGAUAAGCACUUUAAUUCAAUUCUGUAAAGAGACAGACAGAUAUGAAAGAAGAGGUGGGAGCGAGAUGAUGACCAACCUGUUCAUUCUCAGGCAAAGCGGACAUGAAAUCCAUGAGAGGCUGAUUGUACUCAUCAAAGGAAAGAAUAGAAUCGGCAUCAGAUCGAUCAAUUCCAGCACUCUUGAGGUCUAUGCAUGAGACCUUGUAGCCAGAAUUCUCCAUAAGGCACCGAAUUUUAUACCAGCACCAACCUCCUCCUCCUAUGCCAUGUACCAGAACGAAGUGCUGCUUCAAUGGAAUUGCUCCUGUUUCUGUCAUGCCGACCCCUUCCUCUCUCACAGUCGCAGGUAUGGCUUUCUCUGCGCUCACCAACAUUGCACUUACCUCUCAGCUUUUCUGCUUUGAGCUCUGUUGGUUAGGAUAUAUGCGGGGCAUAUGUGGGAUGAGAUAUUGUGAAUAGUCAGUCUCAUAGGGUCGUAACGUAUGGUUUUUACUUUGCCAGUGGGGUUACAGUCAACAUAUACCUCCAUUGAUUUUUUUUUUUUUUUGGGGGUGUCAUUUUGCAUCAUGAGAACUUCGGGAAUGUGAUUUGAAACGUAAUAAUUGCGGAGGAAUGUAGAUAAGUUGUAUAAAAACCUUAAUGUCAUGAUCAGUAUUAAUAUUAUAUAUGUAAGGCUUUUUAAGAUGAAGUUUUGCUUUCCCUGAAGCGAAGGACGUCCACGUGUUUGAUUGCUGUUAAAUCUGUAGUCAUAGUCACGAGACUAUUUUUGGGAUGAUUCUUAUGGUAGGAUGUGUCUGGUAUGCAAUGAAUUAAACCAAUUGCAAAUUGAGAAUGAUGGUAAUGAAUAUAAUUCAAUUCAUAAAUAAGAUUAGUUGUAUAAUGUACUGGGGCUCCGAUUCGCUUGAAAAUAUACCCUUUUUUAGCGAGAUAUUAGGUGGAUACCGUGCUGUACAUGGGUUGCAUUAUUUACUUUCUUUUUCCACCCAAUUGUUGCAUAUUUAUCUAUUUAUUACUGCUUAUAGAUAGUGUUAUUUAUUAUAAAUUUUAUAUUUCAGGAGACACUUUUUCUUGUAAGUUGUAUGGAAUUUGAAAAAUUGAUGGCAUUAUUUGUAACCUAUAUAUUAUAAUUUGUUAUAGUUUUUAGUGA